UUAUACCCUUCCCCAUGUGCUCCCCUGCCCCAGUGCUCUAUGUCCCAGCUUUGGAGAUGGGUAGCAUCUUCCAAGUAACUUUUUAAAUGCAGACUGUUUUUUAUUGCACAUUAUUGUAAUGAACUGCAGUAAGUAUGAAAGCAAAUCAUUACCUGAUUGUGGUUGUGAGCUACUUGGUAUUAGGCAGAAGCAUUUUAUUAAAUGUAACAACUCUUUUGAGGAAACACUGACCUUUACUUAUGUUUGAUACAGCAAUCAGAGAUCAGGCAACUCAUUUCAUGCUAAAAGAGUCAUGUCAAGAAUACCUCCAUUGUAUGUUAUUGUCAGACUUGCUUCAAAAUAAACUCUGCGUGUUGUAGAUAUUCAUCAUAUACAGAAAUGUUAGGUAAUGAUUCAAAAGGUAGUGUUGUUUUCAAGAGGGUUCCUAAGUUUUCCUACCGUAAUGAUUCUGUGAUACCGUCUUGCAUGUUUGCCUGAGUGCGUGGGAAGCUCUUUUCUAUCUGCCCUGGAUUGUGGUUAUUUUUAUCAAUGAAAUCUCGACUCAAAUGCAGGAAAGAGGGUCCUGUGAGAUUCAGUGUGUGGUUAAACACUCUCCAGCCCAGAUCAGUCAGUGGGGUAAGUUGCUAUUUUGGUACGGUUAUGUGAUGUCUGACUUUUUUCCUGUUGUGAAUAAUUUUUGUGAAGACAGUAUGCCUAGCCUAGAAAUCAGUGGUUUUGUAUGUAUUCUUUUAUGUAUGACUUGAUACUGUUUUUUUUUUCUUGUAUACAAGCUAAACCAAGUGCUAAUAUUUCAACAGAUACAGAAUGACAGUCAAACACUACACACUGGUAUGCCUGUGAAGAGGCACUGCCAAAGUUAAUUGUGUCUAGUGCAAAAGCUUGGAGUUCUGGCUGAUCAAAGCAGUCUUUCUGCCUCCCUACCCUGGAAGUAUGGAGUCCCUGCCUCAGCCUACGGCUUCAUUCUUUUUCCAGCUGCCCACAAAAGUAAAGAACCAGUGUGAGAGUUUGAAGAAAGAAUCCGCUCAGAGUCUCAAGCAAAAGCUCCAGGUUGCAGACUCAGAAAGAAACUUCCUUUGGGGAAGGAUCUGCUUCCAGGAUUUGCUCGUCUCUUUUUCCUUGGGCAAACAGUUCUUGAAGCAAACGACAGGGUUGCAGGACACCUUCUAACCUUUAUACUGCAUCACAAGCCUUCAGCAGAAGAUCUUAUGUUGCUGGAAGAUGACUGGGUUUGGAUCUUGGCCUUCCCUAAGCAGGAUCUCCUGGCAAAAAAAUGGGAUUGGGAAAGAAAUGGCUCCUUUUUCCAUCACACAGAACCACCCUAGAAAUGGAGGCCUAGGCAGAAAAUUACUUGUAAUGCAUUGUUCUUUAGGGAAUGUGUUUGGCCUCCCAUGGUCCUUUUGUUACAAUGUCAUAUAGAUAUCCUUUAUAAAACCUAAACCUGGCAUCUUGCUAUAUGAAGAUGAAGUCAAUAAAUCCAAGAUAAAGAGUGUACAGGUAUAAUAAUGUGAUCGGGUCUUGCUGUCCCUUGCAUAGGAGAUGCCACGUGAAUCUGUGAAACAGGGUUCUGCUGUGGUUCAGACUGUUAUAUUUGUAAAGCCUUUUCUACUUACAUUAAAAUCAUUAGAAAUAAUAAAGGUUCUUGUGAAAAUGGUAUUUAGACUUCUACCUUGCUGGGUAUAGUUAAAAAAUAAAUUUGAGCCAAAAUGUCACAAUGGGCAAUAUGGGAAGUAGUGCAUCUUUUGAGGUUUCCUGUGGCUUUGUGUCACAAAGAAGUGUGUUGGAACGGUUGAGAGCUAUAAAAGGGAAAAUCUUAGAUUUUUCUUUAAGAGUGAGAAGUUGUUUGUUAGAAAGCAGAAAGCUUUUAAUCGUUCCCCCUAAGGGAUUGUGUAGUCAAACUUAAUUAAAUGUCUUCUAAGAUCUCAAAUGAAAACCUUCUGUUUGGCAGUAGCGAACAGCACACACAUGCCUGUGCACUUGUGUUGUUCUUACUAUAGGAAAUUAGUUUUGAAGAAUAGGGCUUAGUUCUAAUGUUCAGAUUAGGAAAGGGGAAAGUUUUGUUCUGAAGCUGAAUGUGAGAAUAGGAGGCAGGAGGGUGUACCAGACCCUCUGGCAGUAGGUGAAGAGCACUUUCAUUUUUCUGUUUUCUGCUUCUGGCAGUUGAAGUAAACUAGCCAGAUGCUUAUACUUGAAUCCAAUUAAUUUCUUGAAUCAGUUGCCACAAAACAUUAUUUUUUAACUAAUGCCUAGAUCUUUUGUUAAAUUCACCAGCUUAUUUAAAUUAUUCAAUAGUUUUAACAUAGCCCUGAGGCUACUGCUUCACGGCAGUUGUCACUUCUUACUAUUCUGGAAUGCACUGCAGUCCUAGUACAUUCUAAAAAUAAUUGUUCAGAUGGUGCUGUUUAAGUACAUACUUAUGUAGUGAGCCAUUUUCACUGGACUUUCUGAAAUUGGCUUUCUGUUGGAUGGCUUUUUAAUAUCUUAUUUUGCUGUGAUUAUCAAACUUGUUUAUCUUGGUGCUUCUGUGGUUAUUGAGUAAAGUGCUGAAUUUAUAACCCGGUAUUUUUAGAGAGCUGAUAGUCAUAUGCCUGUGUUAAACUAUGCAAGCACAGUAACAGUUGUUAACUUUGAAGUUUAAAAAAAAACCAGUUUAAUGUAUCAAAUUCAAUCCUAUUACAAUAUGUGGAAAUAUGUAUGUGAUGAACUUAAAAUUGAGUAGUUGCUACAGAUGUAGACAUGAAUUGUAUACUGAACAGAAGUAAUCUAGACAUUAAUAGCUGAAGAUCUGUGGGUCUCAGAAAUGAAUUCUAACAUCUGUGACUAGAGUUUUGUGCCAGCAGUGCUUUUAGUUGAAAAUACCUGUUUUUCAAAUUUCUAGUCCAUUUGAGGUCUGAUAUCCUUUGUGCCUUAAUAGGUUUACUUACACUUGCCUCAGCCAGUUUUUGGUCAUUUUGAUCUGUAGUAGGUAAAUUUAGGAUUGUCAAAUACUUACGAAACAGGCACUGAGGCCUGUUUAUGUUACUGUCUCAGUUCUUAAAAUGGCUUUACUCUCCCCAUCACAAUUAGGAAACAAAACCACCAAAACAAAAGGAAAAACCAAACUAAAAAGCCUGUUGGAAUUCUACAAUUGGUAUUUGACAUUUGUCUUAUCACCGUAGUGUUGGCAUGUUUCUCAUGCUGAGUUUUACAGUUGGAAUCCUGGGUUCUUGGUACAUCCUUAGAACAAUAACUCAUGCCUUUGUGUUGCUAAAUAAUAAAGAUACC